rfam:Gaeumannomyces graminis var. tritici R3-111a-1 unplaced genomic scaffold supercont2.8, whole genome shotgun sequence.
GCCCGUAUAGCUCAGUGGUAGAGCGUAUCACUCGUACCAGCCGUUACAUGAUAAGGUCCACGGUUCGAUCCCGUGUGGGGGCA